UACGGGGGGUGCAAGCGUUGUUCGGAAUUACUGGGCGUAAAGGGCGCGUAGGCGGCUCGCUAAGUCGGAUGUGAAAACUCUGGGCUCAACCCAGAGCCUGCAUUCGAAACUGACGAGCUCGAGUUCUGGAGGGGAAAGCGGAAUUCCUGGUGUAGCGGUGAAAUGCGUAGAUAUCAGGAGGAACACCGGUGGCGAAGGCGGCUUUCUGGACAGAAACUGACGCUGAUGCGCGAAAGCUAGGGGAGCAAACAGG
rnacentral:rRNA from 1 species